rfam:Saprolegnia parasitica CBS 223.65 unplaced genomic scaffold supercont2.52, whole genome shotgun sequence.
GUCAGUGUGACCGAGCGGUCCAAGGUGCUAGACUCAAGUUCUAGUGUGUUCGCACUCGCGGGUUCAAAUCCCGCCGCUGACA